UUCAUUUAUCCUUCCUUUUCCUCUUCUCCUCUCUCCACUCUAAAAGACAAUACAGAUAAUCGAAAUUCUGUUUGAUUUUUUCAAUUUAGUUUUGUAUGAUUCGCGGUUUAUUAUUUGCAUCACUGUUUCUCACAGGAAGAUAUUGUAAUUCUUCGAACAGAUUGUUCCAACAGUUGGUGUUAGAUUCCCAGCAGACGACAUGGCAGAUUUUGAACCUAGAAUGUAAACUAACGCACUCACAGAUGAUGUAUAUUUAAGACUACGUGUUUAAAGAUUUAUUAGAUCUAACCGCACAUUUAUCUUCAAUCCUAAGUGGUGACUCUGUGUUGAAGUUAGUGCAUACCCAAAUUUAGUAAUUUACUAUAGACUAUGAUAAGUUUGUGAAUGGAUUGUCCCUUAUAUAUGGUGUUUUUGUUUUUUAUCCAGUGGAAAAGUCUUUUGGAACUUAUAUAUUUGUGGUAUAUGUUGAACUUUGUGAUAAAUUUAGAAGUUAAUAGUAAUGUUGGGUUUCAAUAGAUCAGUUAACACUUACUGAUUCA